GGAGACGAGAUAUGGUCUCAUUGAGAUACGGUCACCUCACUGAUUACCAGAGUUGAUUCUGCUGCUGUCCAGUGGGGUGCUGCCUGCCUUCCUCACACCUCCAUAUGUGUCCAUCCCAAAGCUGAAUGCUCAGCAGAGGAAGAUGGCAUUCCCUGAUAGAUAAGACUGUUAUUUCAAAAAGGGUACACAAGUAGCUGUGCGGCCCUCCAAACAAGCCUGCAAGAAUCAAUAAGCAAAUGAUACAUUUCUAAGGACAAAAAAGAAAUAUGAUAUU
rnacentral:snRNA from 1 species